rnacentral:tRNA from 1 species
AUAAAGGUGGCAGAUAAGUGCAGUAGGUUUAAGCCCUAAAUAUGGGGGUUAUGUUUCCCCUCUUUAUU